rnacentral:rRNA from 1 species
ACCUUGUUGCUUUGGCGGGACCGCUCGGUCUCGAGCCGCUGGGGAUUCGUCCCAGGCGAGCGCCCGCCAGAGUUAAACCAAACUCUUGUUAUUUAACCGGUCGUCUGAGUUAAAAUUUUGAAUAAAUCAAAACUUUCAACAACGGAUCUCUUGGUUCUCGCAUCGAUGAAGAACGCAGCGAAAUGCGAUAAGUAAUGUGAAUUGCAGAAUUCAGUGAAUCAUCGAAUCUUUGAACGCACAUUGCGCCCCUUGGUAUUCCGAGGGGCAUGCCUGUUCGAGCGUCAUUACACCACUCAAGCUAUGCUUGGUAUUGGGCGUCGUCCUUAGUUGGGCGCGCCUUAAAGACCUCGGCGAGGCCACUCCGGCUUUAGGCGUAGUAGAAUUUAUUCGAACGUCUGUCAAAGGAGAGGAACUCUGCCGACUGAAACCUUUAUUUUUCUAGGUUGACCUCGGAUCAGGUAGGGAUACCCGCUGAACUUAAGCAUAU